rnacentral:rRNA from 1 species
AUUGAACGCUGGCGGCAGGCUUAACACAUGCAAGUCGAACGGUAACAUGAAGAAGCUUGCUUCUUUGAUGACGAGUGGCGGACGGGUGAGUAAUGCUUGGGAAUCUAGCUUAUGGAGGGGGAUAACUACGGGAAACUGUAGCUAAUACCGCGUAGAAUCGAGAGAUGAAAGUGUGGGACCUUCGGGCCACAUGCCAUAGGAUGAGCCCAAGUGGGAUUAGGUAGUUGGUGAGGUAAAGGCUCACCAAGCCGACGAUCUCUAGCUGGUCUGAGAGGAUGACCAGCCACACUGGGACUGAGACACGGCCCAGACUCCUACGGGAGGCAGCAGUGGGGAAUAUUGCGCAAUGGGGGCAACCCUGACGCAGCCAUGCCGCGUGAAUGAAAAAGGCCUUCGGGUUGUAAAGUUCUUUCGGUAGCGAGGAAGGCAUUUAGUUUAAUAGACUAAGUGAUUGACGUAACUACA